rnacentral:rRNA from 1 species
CCCCGUCAGUAGCGGCGAGCGAGAGCGGAUUAGGACUUCCCAGAAAAGAAAGAGAGGAAGAUCGAAGCAAAAAAGAAAGUAAGUAAAUAAAAGAAAGAAGAAGCGAAGCGAAGAAAAAACCUUACCUAAGUAGUCAAGUGUUCACUGCUUUUUUCACAAGGUUUCAUUCUAUUUGUGCAUUGAACUUGAAUUGGAUGAUGGAAAAACCAUCAAGCCAAGCAAGAGCUAACAAGCUUUAAAGCUACUUAUGCCCUUGACUAUAUUCUAAGGGCGUAGGGAAGAGUUAUUUUGAAAAGUUUGGAAGAUCUGACCUUAGAAGGUGAGAGUCCUGUAGAAUCGUUCCCAUGUUUUGAUCUUUCGUGAGUAAAACGCGUCGUGUUCGAAUUCUGCUCGUUUUUUUCACGAGAAAGGGGGCCCACCCUCUAAGCCUAAUUAUUCCUCAAUGACCGAUAGUGUACAAGUACCGUGAGGGAAAGGUGAAAAGAACCCUAGUUAGGGAGUGAAAUAGAGAACCUGAGAUCCGAUGCGAACAAUCAGUCGAAGGAACAGAAAAGAGAGCCUUUACUUCUAACUUUUAAAGGUACCUUGUUCUAACGGCGUACCUUUUGCAUGAUGGGUCAGCGAGUAAAUAGUCUGAGCGGCUUAAGCUAUUAGGCGUAGGCGCUUUCGAUAGGUGUUCAAUCUUCUCGUUCUUGCUAUUUGACCCGAAACCGGUCGAUCUAGCCAUAAGCAAGUUGAAGAGAGCUCUAACCGGCCUUGGAGGACUGCACUCACGUAUGUGGCAAAAUACGGAGAUGACUCGUGGCUAGGGGUGAAAGGCCAAUCAAGAUCGGAUAUAGCUGGUUUUCCGCGAAAUCUAUUUCAGUAGAGCGUAUAAGAGAAGGGCCUGAGGUAGAGCACUCAAUGAGAUAGGGUGGUUUACGCCUUACCAACCUCAGGGAAACUACGAAUACAGGCCUACUUCCUUUGUACAGACAGACUUUUUGGGUGAGAAGAUCCAAAGUCGAGAGGGAAAGAGCCCAGAUCGUACGCUAAGGUCCCCAAGCAAUUACUUAGUGGAAAAGGAAGUCAUUGAGCGAUGACAACCAGGAUGUGGGCUUAGAAGCAGCCAUCCUUUGAAGAAAGCGUAAUAGCUCACUGGUCUAGCUCCGUGGCACCGAAAAUGUAUCGGGGCUGAAGUUAUUCACCGAAGCGACGAGACAAAGAAAAAGCAAGCCUUUUUCAGUGUCAGUAGCGGGACGUUCUGUCAAUCAGAGAAGGUUUCUGGUAACAAGGCCUGGAGAUAUCAGAAGUGAGAAUGCUGACAUGAGUAACGAAAAAUCAUGUGAAAAACAUGAUCGCCUGCCAGUGUAAGGCUUUCCGCGUUCAGUGAAUCUGCGCAGAGUGAAUCGGUCCCUAAGGAAAGCAAGCAAGCUAGCGCCCGAAAGGCAAUUCCGAUGGGUCCACGAAAGUGACGAAGUUGCUUUGACUAAAGAACCGGGCCUAUUCAUAAUUAAGACAGGUAUAGCAAAUUGGAUGAUGUACUUUCCUAAAUGAACCUUGAGUCAUCAAAGCCUUUCUGACUUGGCUUAAGCAAGCAAGUAAGCAAGUAGGCGUUUAUGCUUCCAGGAAAAAACUUCGAGUUGAGAGGUUGAUCCUCUCGUUGAGCUGACCGUACCCCAAACCGACACAGGUACAUAAGUAGAGUAUACUAGGGCGUUUGGGAGAACCAUGUCGAAGGAACUCGGCAAACUGACCCCGUAACUUCGGGAGAAGGGGUGCUCUUUGAAUUGAUUCUUUCUGAGAGCGUCACAUACCAGGGGGUAGCGACUGUUUCUUAAAAACACAGGACUCUGCUAAGUGGUAGCAUGCUGUAUAGAGUCUGACACCUGCCCGGUGCUGGAAGGUGAUAAUUGAUUGGUCGUCUUAGCUUCUCUUUCUAAUCCCCAGUAAACGGCGGCAGUAACUCUAACUGUCCUAAGGUAGCGAAAUUCCUUGUCGGGUAAGUUCCGACCUGCACGAAUGGCGUAACGAUGGCCACACUGUCUCCUCCCGAGACUCAGCGAAGUUGAAGUGUUUGUGAUGAUGCAAUCUCCCCGCGGCUAGACGGAAAGACCCCAUGAACCUUUACUGUAGCUUUGCAUUGGACUUUGAACCGAUCUGUGUAGGAUAGGUGGGAGGCUUUGAAGCGUGGACGCUAGUUCACGUGGAGCCGUCCUUGAAAUACCACCCUGGUUUGUUUGAGGUUCUAACCUUGGCCCGUGAAUCCGGGUCGGGGACAGUGCAUGGUAGGCAGUUUGACUGGGGCGGUCUCCUCCCAAAGUGUAACGGAGGAGUUCGAAGGUACGCUUGGUACGGUCGGACAUCGUACCUAAAGUGCAAUGGCAAAAGCGUGCUUAACUGCGAGACCGACAAGUCGAGCAGGUGCGAAAGCAGGACAUAGUGAUCCGGUGGUUCUGAAUGGAAGGGCCAUCGCUCAACGGAUAAAAGGUACUCUGGGGAUAACAGGCUGAUACCGCCCAAGAGUUCAUAUCGACGGCGGUGUUUGGCACCUCGAUGUCGGCUCAUCUCAUCCUGGGGCUGUAGCCGGUCCCAAGGGUAUGGCUGUUCGCCAUUUAAAGAGGUACGUGAGCUGGGUUUAAAACGUCGUGAGACAGUUUGGUCCCUAUCUGCCGUGGGCGUUGGAAUCUUGACGGGGGCUGCUCCUAGUACGAGAGGACCGGAGUGGACGUACCGCUGGUGUACCUGUUGUCUCGCCAGAGGCAUCGCAGGGUAGCUAUGUACGGAAGAGAUAACCGCUGAAAGCAUCUAAGCGGGAAACUCGCCUGAAGAUGAGGAUUCCCUGGAGGCUUGACCUCCUUGAAGGGUCGUUCGAGACCAGGACGUUGAUAGGCUGGGUGUGGAAGCGCAGUAAUGCGUUAAGCUAACCAGUACUAAUUGCCCGUGCGAGA